UUCUCUGUGUAGGCCUGGCUGUCCUAGAACUCAAGAGAUCCACUGGCCUCUGCCUCUUCCAGGCUGGCUUCAUUUUUCCUAACACCUGACUGAUACUCCAUGGUGUAUCACAACUGCUAUUUUUGAUUCAUUCAUCCAUUGAUGGCACCUAGAGCCCGGCUGCUCUUAUCUCUAGACUAUGUAACCAACCAGCAACAUCCUGGGGCCCUCACGAGAGUCUUCCUGUUCGCUAAAUAUGGCACUAUUCUCCUCCACCCAGCUGGGCAGAGCGUCUGCUCAUUCCGAACACAAUAUUAGGAGCCAUUUUUAGCAGAAUGGAAUCAGGCAGAUAUCACCUUGCUGGGGAUCACUCAGAUGGGCAGGGGUAACUCAAACUGGAGUCUGAGGCCAGCCUCUUUGUCCACCACAACCUCUCCAACUGUCCUUAAGUUUUUUUUUUUCCUCUAAGGUCACACCGAGUGGCAGGCUGGGAGCUUAUACCAGAGUUGACCUUCCGGCAGCCGCCCAGCCUCAGUGUACUCGGGCAUGGCUGGAUGCUGAGCAAGCCUAAGCCAACCCCGGGUCCUCCCAAGGUCUAACGCUUUCCCGAGCCUUCCUGCGGGCUCCGAGACCCACUCAUCAUCGCCACAGCCAAGCCCCUGCCCUCUCUGCCUUCAGCAGUCUCGUCACAGCUGCAUCAAACACACCCGGGACGCCAACAGCUUCUCCGGUGACUUUCACAUGACAGGAGGUGCCCGGGAGAAUCCUCAUCAGGUAUGAGAUGCACCGAACAGUAACGGUAACACCAGGGGCGAAUGCUGGAGCCGAUACGAAAAGGCCUCCCUCCGGAUGGCUCGGUGACUUAGGGGAGACUGGAGCGUGGCAAUCGGCACCAAGACCUGCCUUUGUGAGGACCCCAAACAAACAAAAAUAACCAGUUCUUACCUUCGCUGUCCCCAUGGUCCUAAUCUACUCCUCAAGCCUUAAGGACGAUCUAGAGGUAGGUUCCCGAGACACCUUUCCCAGUCCGCGGCAGCAAGCUCUCUGGGUCCUCAGCAGCACUCAGAGGGCUUGAGGACCAUCACAGGGACCACAGCCAGAAGCCCAGCCUACCUAUUUAUAAUCUCUGCAAAGGGUGGAGCCUCCAUGCUCGCCCACCCCACCCCCGCUUCCAGCCUUUAACCUCUAACCUCCGGAAUUCAGUGACCUCUGUUAUCUGAUCGUCACGGCUCCUUCCCCCAGCCCCCUCGCCUUCGCAAGCAAUCAAUUUCCCCCCUCCUCUGGCUUUUUACCACAUCCUCCCUGUGGUUCUGUCUUUCUUUUUUUUUUUAAAGCCCAUCCAAAUUCCUUCCCCUUUACAAGAGCCGACAACCUUUUUGUUUCACGGAAAAAAACACUGAAAAGUUUGGAGGGCGGGCAAAUUUGAAGGCGCUGGGGACAGAAUCAGUCUAGGGAGAGAGGAAAGCUAAUCUAUCUAAGGCAGAGCUGAGUGGGUGCUGCCGUCAGCUGAAAGUCAUCCACGGAGUGGGAAGCAGAGGAUCCAGGACCCUCUGCGUCUGUCAGCUGCCUUUUCACUACAGGCUGGGGGUGCAAUCUUGAAGGGAAAGGAGAGCCUGUCCCGAGAAAACUGGCAAUGAUUUGUCCAGUUGUGAAGGGUAGCCUGGAUGUCUUGGAGCCCGACCAAAGCUCCUAGGCUGCAGGAAGAGGAGAUCAGUGAGGUACACAGCCCCAAUUCCUUACCACAGCAUACCUGACUUACACCCCACCCCUUGUGAAUUCUACCACUCCCUCACCUGUUCUGAGCUUACCCUCACCUGUUCUGAGGUUUAUAGCAUCUAGAAACACAACAAACAUCCAAUUCAACUUAACAGAUAUUUGCUGAGUAUGUGUUGGGUCUUUAAUGAAUAAAAAAAAAUAGAGAGA